rnacentral:rRNA from 1 species
AAUUUUAUUUGCGCCUUCAGUUGCGAGCAUGACAAAGUGGUAUGUGCAGUGGAUUGUAUCCUGUCCCUAUUUGGUGAUAAGAAUCCAGAGCACUACAUUGUUGCCACCCAGGAUUCUGGUCUCCGGGCAAAGCUACGGGAAGUUCCUUGUGUUCCUGUGAUAUACGGUCUGAAAAACUCCCUGUUUAUUGAGCAACCAUCCGUGCAGCAACGUAAGUUUGCUCAGUUGGAUGAGGAGAAGCGUAUUCAUAUGUAAAAAACAGAAUUUAAGAAGCUAUUGAAGGCACCAUCGGAAGGAAAGACAUCUGUCGACGGAAACGCACAUGUUGUGGCAGAGAAAAGCAAGUUUAAAAGGAACAGAGCAAAGGGCCCAAACCCACUCUCCUGCAAGAAAAAGAAGCCGAAGCCCCAACCAUCAGCUCCUAAAGAUCGGGGUCCUAAGGCUGAUUGCGAGGCGAAGAGGAAGAGGGUUAGAAAGCGCAAGAGAAGCGGCAAAGACAGCACUCAAGCGGAGACAGCGAGCUGA